GGAGUUGUGGCUCAGUGGUAGAGCACUUGCUUCACACAUAUGAAGCCCUGGGUUUGAUCCUCAGCACCA
rnacentral:tRNA from 1 species